rnacentral:rRNA from 1 species
GCAGCCUGCAACUCGGCUGCAUGAAGCUGGAAUCGCUAGUAAUCNCGGAUCAGAAUGCCGCGGUGAAUGCGUUCCCGGGUCUUGUACACACCGCCCGUCACACCAUGGGAGCCGGGAAUGCCCGAAGUCAGCGGCCUAACCGUAAGGGGGGAGCUGCCGAAGGCAGGCCUGGUAACUGGGGUGAAGUCGUAACAAGGUAAC